UAGGGAAUAUUGGACGAUGGGGGCAACCCUGAUCCAGCCAUGCCGCGUGAGUGAAGAAGGCCCUCGGGUUGUAAAGCUCUUUUGUCCGGAAAGAAAAGCAUUCGGUGAAUACUCGGAUGUUCUGACGGUACCGGAAGAAUAAGCACCGGCUAACUUCGUGCCAGCAGCCGCGGUAAUACGAAGGGUGCAAGCGUUACUCGGAAUUACUGGGCGUAAAGCGUGCGUAGGUGGUUGUUUAAGUCUGAUGUGAAAGCCCUGGGCUCAACCUGGGAAUGGCAUUGGAAACUGGGCAGCUAGAGUGGGGUAGAGGGUAGUGGAAUUCCAGGUGUAGCAGUGAAAUGCGUAGGGAUCGGGAGGUACAUCUGUGGCGAAGGCGACUGCCUGGACCAGCACUGACACUGAGGCACGAAAGCGUGGGGAGC
rnacentral:rRNA from 1 species